AACGAACGCUGGCGGCAUGCUUAACACAUGCAAGUCGAACGAGACCUCCCGGUCUAGUGGCGCACGGGUGCGUAACGCGUGGGAACCUGCCCUUAGGUUCGGAAUAAUUCCCCUAAAGGGGUGCUAAUACCGCUUAAUCUCAUCGGGCCAAAGAUCUAUCGGCUUUGGAUGGGCCCGCGUUGGUUUAGCUAGUUGGUAGGGCAAACGCCUGCCAAGGCGAUGAUCCAUAGCUGGUCGGAGAGGAUGAUCAGCCACACUGGGACUGAGACACGGCCCAGACUGCUACGGGAGGCAGCGGUGGGGAAUAUUGGGGAAUGGGCGAUAGCCUGAGACAGCAAUGCGGGGUGAGUGAUGAAGGGCUUAGGGUUGUAAAGCUCUUUUGCCCGGGAUGAUAAUGACGGUACCGGGAGAAUAAGCACCGGCUAACUCCGUG
rnacentral:rRNA from 1 species